rnacentral:tRNA from 1 species
CGGGGUAGAGCUCAGUGGUAGAGUGCGUGCUUAGCAUGCACGAGGUCCUGGGUUCAAUCCCCAGUACCUCCA